AGAAUUAAUUUAAUUGGUAUAAAAAAUUUGCUAUUUUUAAAACACUGGCUUAGAUAAUAAUUAUUUUGCCUUGAGAGGAUACCAUACCUGCAUAUGCUGUUAUUUAUAUUAAGCACAAGCCCUCCCUAAGUCACUAGUCUAGAAGUAUAUAUAUAUAUAUAUAUAUAUAAUAGAUAUGAUCUAUAUAAUAUUUGACAUAAUUUUUUAGAUUCUGAAUGUAGCAAAGAAUGUAUUAGUUUAGAACAAAAAUAAUAAUAUUUUGAAGGGAAU